rnacentral:lncRNA from 1 species
CAUGGUUCCGUUUAGCUCGGAUGCUGUGGGCGUAUUUGAGAGGCGGAGAGGUGAGAGGUUGGAUCAGUGCUGUUUUAGGGUCAAGCAGAAGAACCAACAGCAUCCUGCAUGGAUCAGUUUCCCUUUCCCACUGUCCUGGGCACAGUGAUCCCUGCCACUUGCAGACGAAUGAACAAACAAAAUGCGGUGCAGCCGUACAAUAGGAUAUUAUUCACAAAAAGGAAGGAAGCACUGAGACGCUACAGCAUGGACGAGCCUCAAAACGUGAUGCGAAGUGCGAGAAGCCAGGUACAGAAGGUCCUGUGUUGUGGGAUUCCGUUUAUAUGGCAGACCCAGAAGAGGGCCAUUUGACAGCAUACAGAAGCUGCUUUUAAAAGUUCAGGUGUUUCCUCCAGCAAUUACAUUUCCGGGAGUUUAUCUUAUUGCAAUGGUUUUCAAUCUGUGUUCCUUAUGGAACACUAGGAUUCCAAAGAUAUGUUUUGUUGGUUCUGCGAAACUUUGAUUUGAAUGACAGAGGUGCUGAGGUUGAUUUUUUAAAAAACCCAAAAUACUGCAACCAUCGUCUACAAC